GGGUCCGGACACACUGAGGAUUGACAGGCAAAAGAUACAAGUUUUCUUUGUGAGAGCUUGCAUUGUAAAAUAUGCGAGUCCUUUCAUGAUUAUGUGAUAGGUGGUGCAUGGCCGUUCUUAGUUCGUGGAGUGAUCUGUCUGCUUAAUUGCGUUUCACAACGAUUUAAAAUGCUAUGUUUUCUGUGUUUGCUGUUCGGUUUUAGCUCUUACGGGAGUUUUUAACUUUGAACGCACACGGCGUAGCUUAAAACAAUCGGAAAGCAACGAACGUGACCGCAACCUCUUGUUGCUUUUAUUUUUAAAAGCGUGGAAAAUUUUAUAUUUUCUUACGCUUGAAAAAGGCUUUAAAACUAGAGGGGCCGCUGUUCUAUUCUCUUAAACCAGAGGAAGAUUGCGGCAAUAACAGGUCUGUGAUGCCCUCAGAUGUUCCGGGCUGCACACGUGCUACAAUGAUUGUUGCAGUGAGCAUCUAUUUUCAAACGCUACCGUUGCGGAUUUUGUGAGAAGGGGGCUUGUUUUAAAGCUUUCGGGUGGAGAAGCAGGUUCUUUUUUUCACAAUUUAUUCCGCGUUACGUGUCAGCUAAACCUGCUUCGAAAGCAAGUAGGU
rnacentral:rRNA from 1 species